GUGGGGAAUAUUGGACAAUGGGCGAAAGCCUGAUCCAGCAAUGCCGCGUGAGUGAUGAAGGCCUUAGGGUUGUAAAGCUCUUUUACUGGGGAUGAUAAUGACAGUACCCAGAGAAUAAGCUCCGGCUAACUCCGUGCCAGCAGCCGCGGUAAUACGGAGGGAGCUAGCGUUGUUCGGAAUUACUGGGCGUAAAGCGCGCGUAGGCGGUUUAUCAAGUCAGAGGUGAAAUCCCGGGGCUCAACCCCGGAACUGCCUUUGAAACUAGUAAACUAGAAUCUUGGAGAGGUCAGUGGAAUUCCGAGUGUAGAGGUGAAAUUCGUAGAUAUUCGGAAGAACACCAGUGGCGAAGGCGACUGACUGGACAAGUAUUGACGCUGAGGUGCGAAAGCGUGGGGAGCAAACAGGAUUAGAUACCCCAGUAGUCC
rnacentral:rRNA from 1 species